UCUUCUUCCUUUUCUCUCUGCCACCGCCGCCAUUCUCCACCGUCCUCGCCACCACAUAGCUGUUCGCGCCGCCGUCCUUGCCACCAUCCUCGCUGCUGAGGCCCCCUAUCCAUUUCUCUUCCGCGAACAGCAGCGGUCCGAGCCGCCGCCGCUGAUGUAUCCUUCUCAUCCUCGGCCGACGAUCAGCAGCAGAAACAAGUCAUCGUCGUUGUCUAUGGUGCUCUCUCUCCAACUCAUCCCUUGGUCGACGAGCAGUAGCAGUACCAGCUGAGGGCAAUGCCACAAUUCUCGUAUGCCAUCGAUGUGCCCUACGACCACCCCUCCUUUCAACUCUCAAGUAUCCCUAAUCUCCACUCUUUUUUCUUAUUUCUCAUUAUACACGAAUUUUGGUCAGUUUUUUUUAUAAGUUUGAGUUAAUUUACUCUGCAAAUAUGUGAAAUAACCUUAUUACCUUAUGUUUCACUUUAUAAAUGUGUGAGAUAGUUUUUGUUGUUUGGUUUGUUAUUAUGAUUCCAUAUGCUUGCAACUUGCAUUGAUAUAUAAUGCUUUAAUGUUUGCGUCAAAUUACAAAAAGAUGACGAGUUUCUCUGUUUUCCCGUCUUUUUGUUCCUCUAAUGAAUGUGAUUAUAAUUAGUGAGGUAGAUUUCUUGAUCUUCUCCAAAUUAAAUAUGUUUGAAUCCAAUAGAGAUGACGAUGAUCUGCAGGCAGUAAGCUUUGGAGGCAUGAAUAUCGAUCCAUUAGCUUGGCCGGACCGUAAGUUUCCGGGUAGAUCAUUCUUUCUUGCUCAGGUAUGGUAUUGGCACCAAAUUAAUAUGGCAGGACUUGCCUCCUAUUUUUUUAAUCUUUGAUAAGAUAGAGAGUAUUAUUUGAUAUGUCUCUCACCUGCAAAGGCAGAGCUUUUUCAACAAUGAAUGUCUAUAGCCAGUGACAUAGUAGCCUCUAGGGAGGUUUUGUUGAUCUGAAUUUGAAUCAGAUUGCUUCAAUGUUGUUUUGUUGAUCUGAAUCUGAAUCUGAAUUUGUAGUUUCAGGAAGUUUGAACUAGCGUGGCGGUUCAGCUUGAUUUAAGUGAGUAGGGAGGUUUUUAUUUUGGUUGAAGAUCUUUAUGCUUAACGGUUGUUGGAUUUUGUUGAUAUCUGUUUAUUUGGAACUGAGUUUGUUUCAAUUUACUUGCUUAGUUUAUAUCAUUGAGGUUUUUCCAUAUUUAUUGCUUGGGUUAGAUGCUAGCAAGAACUCAUACCUGUUAUCAUCAUUUGCAGUUUUGUCUUGUGGUACACCAAGGAGGAAUAUUGUUCAAUUACUUUUUCUUUCUUAGAGAAGCUUAGUAUUGGGUUAGUAUUUGGUUGAUGGGGAUUCUGGCCAAAAGUAAUGAUUAAGUUGGUAGUUAAGAUAACAUUUUCAAAGAUUGUACAUAUAACAUUCAUUAUAUUAUGCUUACUAAAAUAUGAAACUUUUAGGGGGUUUAUACAUGUAUUGAGCACCAACGCACACAUUCUGAUAAACACCAUAGAUCCAUUUUGGGGAAAAAACAAUGCUAAGUUUCAUGCACAUUUUCAUCUAUACUUUUCUAGAGUUGGAGUUGUUAGCUAUUCUUAUCUAGAAUUAAGAUAUAUUAAAUAUGUUCAGGAUCAUAGAUAUCUUUAUCACUUGUCAGUAAAUCUUUAUUAUAGAAUUUAAGAAGUAUUUUGCUAGUUCUGCAUCUUUGACAGUAUGAUAUUGUUGUUGAUAGUUGUAUGAUUAAGUGGCUCGGGGAAUUACCAUAUUUGAUGUGUGACAGUUGAAAGUAGAUGAAUGUUAAUGUGUCAGCAACUCUUCUAAAUAUUUGUUUUAUGUUUUCCCAUUGUGUAUGUGGGAUCUUAUUAAUUAGUUCUUGCAUUUUCAGGUUAAUGAUUCUAAAGACUCUGCAAUAAUAGAGCCAUGCAUGACAGUUUUUAGAAAUCUUAACUGCUUUCUUUAUGGAGAUUUUUAGGUUCAAGCAUCGAAAGAGCAAGCCCAACUCUGGCUUAUUAAUAUAAGCUUGGUAACUUUGAGGCGGCAGCUGCUAUUCAGAGAAGGUUGGAUCUCGAUGCUACCUGAGGAACUAUUUGGUGCUUCUUGGAUCUCUUUUAAUGCAUUUAUACUACCCAAAACUAAAGGGAAUCGGUUUUUAGGAGCAAGAUCUGAGACGGUUGGGACAGAUGUUGAUGCUUCAGUUUGCGUCUGAAGAAUAUGAUCUUUCUUGUUUUCAUUAGGUUUCUGUAUCGCAGUUGCCUUCUUUCAUAU